rnacentral:misc_RNA from 1 species
AAAUAACAUAAUUCAGGCUAAAGAAAUGAGCAAUCUCACAGGACAGAGUAUCCGUACAGUACAUAACAGGGUGUUUGCCCUGUACCAAAAAGUUGGCUUUUGGAAUCACUCCAAGAAAAAUUAUCACUCAAAAGAAGUUGCUUUCUAAAAAUACAAUUUAGCAUUGGAUUCUAUAUUUUGGGGUCUACCCACUGCCCACGUGGUGAGAUAGUUUCAAGUUA